CGUUAUGUGAUAUUAUAAUACGCAAUGACACCUGAUAAGUUCAAGCCACAAGUCAGUUCAUAAUUCUAAUCAGUUGCCAACUGUAAUCACAUUUCCAGAUAACAAUGUCCAAAAUUUUUCCCAUAAAAGGGAUCCUGAGUGAAACCGAGCCUAUACAGAACUACAACAAUCAGCCAAGCUUCGAAAAACAACCUUACAAAUGGAGUAUGAGUCAUAUAGAAGAAAAUCACACUAUUAGCCAGGCAACUACAUGUGAAAUAUAAGAUGUGGUUAUGUCCUCUGUAACAAAAAAACUUGUACAUGAGAUCUAUAUCGCUUGAUGCUGCAUCAGCCAUCUAAAGACCGAGCUCAUUCCCAUCAACAUGGCAGCAAAAUAGAGAUAAAAAAAUAUUAAUGGUUGUUGCAUAUUUUAAGAUUACUCUAGAAUUCACUAGAUUGGCCUUGGUGAGCAAGAAAAUAGAAGUCC
rnacentral:lncRNA from 1 species